CGUGGAGUGAUUUGUCUGGUUUAUUCCGAUAACGAGCGAGACUCUAACCUGCUAAAUAGUUCGCCGAUUGUCUAAUCUGUCGGCGUUAACUUCUUAGAGGGACAAGUGGCGUUUAGUCACACGAGAUUGAGCAAUAACAGGUCUGUGAUGCCCUUAGAUGUCCGGGGCUGCACGCGCGCUACACUGGCAAAAUCAACGUGCUUGUCCUUCCCCGAAAGGGGCGGGUAACCCAUUGAAAAUUUGCCGUGAUUGGGAUCGGAAAUUGCAAUUAUUUUCCGUGAACGAGGAAUUCCAAGUAAGUGCGAGUCAUCAGCUCGCGUUGAUUACGUCCCUGCCCUUUGUAC
rnacentral:rRNA from 1 species